rnacentral:rRNA from 1 species
UACAGAGGGUGCGAGCGUUGUUCGGAAUUAUUGGGCGUAAAGGGCGCGUAGGCGGUGCGGUAAGUCACCUGUGAAAAUCUCCCUGGCUCAACUGGGAGCUUGCAGGCGAAACUGCCGUGCUGGAGUGUGGGAGAGGUGCGUGGAAUUCCUGGUGUAGCGGUGAAAUGCGUAGAUAUCGGGAAGAACACCCGUGGCGAAGGCGGCACUCUGGACGGUACUGACGCUGAGACGCGAAGCGUGGGAGCGAACAGG